AAAUAAAAGAUAAAAAAUCUAAAAAAUUAAUUAUCUAUUAACGUAGAUUUGGACGACAAUAGGUUUUUAGUUUGUGAUGUUUCAUGUGAUGAUCAUUUUCAUGUUCAUCGUCUUUGAAUUGACAUGAGGAUAUCUAUGGAAAAUUAACUAAUCUGAAAGUAAGCCAACAUAUCGUUUGUCCUUGUGUGCUAAAGAAAAGAUUUUCUUUUCGCAUCAUGAGGAAGUAUUACAUCAAUUAAAAAAAUGUUAGGAAGUUGAUUACUUGUCAUGGAGAAGUAUACCAAUGGAAAUUAUUUGUUAAAGAAGUAUAAUUCUAAGGGUUUUAAGAAUAAAUUAGUUGAACCCAAAAUCUGGAGGAAGUACUUAUAUCCAUACACAGAAUAUGCCCAUUAAAAAUACUAGUCCAAAUUUGCUUUAAUGGUAGACAGUUAUUCAAUACAAAUUAACUUUCUAAGAACGAUUAGGGUCCGAUAUAUUUGAAACUCAUGUUGGACAUAGUAUUGAGUUGGGUAGAAUAUUAUUCUACGUUAAGUGAGGGUAUCAGAUACCUAUUAUUGUACUGUAUUUUAAUAUAUACAUUAGAAUUGUUGGUUUUUU